rnacentral:rRNA from 1 species
GUCGAACGGAGUUAUUUUGGCAGAAGCCUUCGGGUGGACGCUGAUAUAACUUAGUGGCGAACGGGUGAGUAACACGUGAGCAACCUGCCCUUCAGAGGGGGACAACAGUUGGAAACGACUGCUAAUACCGCAUAAGACCACGGUGUGGCAUCACACAGAGGUCAAAGGAGAAAUCCGCUGAAGGAUGGGCUCGCGUCCAAUUAGCUAGAUGGUGAGGUAACGGCCCACCAUGGCGACGAUUGGUAGCCGGACUGAGAGGUUGAUCGGCCACAUUGGGACUGAGACACGGCCCAGACUCCUACGGGAGGCAGCAGUGGGGAAUAUUGCACAAUGGAGGAAACUCUGAUGCAGCGACGCCGCGUGAGGGAAGAAGGUCUUCGGAUUGUAAACCUCUGUUGUCAGGGACGAUAAUGACGGUACCUGACGAGGAAGCCACGGCUAACUACGUGCCAGCAGCCGCGGUAAAACGUAGGUGGCAAGCGUUGUCCGGAAUUACUGGGUGUAAAGGGAGCGCAGGCGGGAGAGCAAGUUGGAAGUGAAAUCUGUGGGCUCAACUCACAAAUUGCUUUCAAAACUGUUUUUCUUGAGUGGUGUAGAGGUAGGCGGAAUUCCCCGGUGUAGCGGUGGAAUGCGUAGAUAUCGGGAGGAACACCAGUGGCGAAGGCGGCCUACUGGGCACUAACUGACGCUGA